GUGGGGAAUAUUCCGCAAUGGACGAAAGUCUGACGGAGCAACGCCGCGUGAGUGAUGAAGGUUUUCGGACUGUAAAGCUCUGUUGUUUAGGACGAAAGUGCCUGUUGCGAACAGUUACAGGUAUUGACGGUACUAAACGAGGAAGCCACGGCUAACUACGUGCCAGCAGCCGCGGUAAUACGUAGGUGGCAAGCGUUGUCCGGAAUUAUUGGGCGUAAAGAGCAUGUAGGCGGAGAUUUAAGUCUGUUGUGAAAAUGCGGGGCUCAACCCCGUAGUGCGAUGGAAACUGAAUUUCUUGAGUGCAGGAGAGGAAAGGGGAAUUCCCAGUGUAGCGGUGAAAUGCGUAGAUAUUGGGAGGAACACCAGUGGCGAAGGCGCCUUUCUGGACUGUGUCUGACGCUGAGAUGCGAAAGCCAGGGUAGCGAACGGGAUUAGAUACCCGGGUAGUCC
rnacentral:rRNA from 1 species